rnacentral:rRNA from 1 species
UGGGGAAUAUUACACAAUGGAGGAAACUCUGAUGUAGCAACGCCGCGUGGAGGAUGACACAUUUCGGUGCGUAAACUCCUUUUAUGUGAGAAGAUAAUGACGGUAUCACAUGAAUAAGCACCGGCUAACUCCGUGCCAGCAGCCGCGGUAAUACGGAGGGUGCAAGCGUUACUCGGAAUCACUGGGCGUAAAGCGCGCGCAGGCGGCUUUGUAAGUUGGAUGUGAAAUCCUAUGGCUCAACCAUAGAACUGCAUCCAAAACUACUUAGCUAGAGUCUGGGAGGGGAAGAUGGAAUUAGUGGUGUAGGGGUAAAAUCCGUAGAGAUCACUAGGAAUACCAAAAGCGAAGGCGAUCUUCUGGAACAGUACUGACGCUGAGGCGCGAAAGCGUGGGGAGCAAACAGG